AAGUUUGAUCAACAAAUCAUAUAUAUUCAAAUUAUAUAAUAAUAUUUAAGGUAGGUUACAUUCUGUUUUCGUAUAUGAACUUUACGUGAACAUGAAUGGAAUUUGACAUGACUUUAAGCAUUAUUAAAACAUUAUAAAAUAAUUUACGUUACCUAUAAUGUUUACACGGAUAUAUACGCCGUUUAUGAACAUAAGAAACGAAAUUAAAUGAAUCAAGUAGACGUAAAUAUAGUAGUACGAUUGAUAUAAUAGUUCAAAAUACAAAAUUGUAAUUAUUAUUCUCCUCCUCUCCUCGGUCAGUAAUUCAGAUUUUAGUAUAAAUUUCGACGUUUGGGAAUUUAUUAUAAUAACAUAAUACGUUUAUCACCAUGGAAAUUUGUUUAAAAAUGUCG